ACACUCCUGCGGGAGGCAGCAGUAGGGAAUAUUGGACAAUGGGCGCAAGCCUGAUCCAGCCAUGCCGCGUGAGUGAUGAAGGCCCUAGGGUUGUAAAGCUCUUUCACCGGUGAAGAUAAUGACGGUAACCGGAGAAGAAGCCCCGGCUAACUUCGUGCCAGCAGCCGCGGUAAUACGAAGGGGGCUAGCGUUGUUCGGAUUUACUGGGCGUAAAGCGCACGUAGGCGGACUAUUAAGUCAGGGGUGAAAUCCCGGGGCUCAACCCCGGAACUGCCUUUGAUACUGGUAGUCUUGAGUUCGAGAGAGGUGAGUGGAAUUCCGAGUGUAGAGGUGAAAUUCGUAGAUAUUCGGAGGAACACCAGUGGCGAAGGCGGCUCACUGGCUCGAUACUGACGCUGAGGUGCGAAAGCGUGGGGAGCAAACAGGAUUAGAUACCCGAGUAGUCCCAUGA
rnacentral:rRNA from 1 species